rnacentral:rRNA from 1 species
AUCGAACGCUGGCGGCGUGGAUAAGACAUGCAAGUCGAACGGAACAGACCGAGUAGCAAUAUUUGGAAUGUUCAGUGGCGAACGGGUGCGUAACACGUGGAUAACAUUCCGGAAAGCGGGGAAUAGCACAGGGAAACUUGGAUUAAUACUGCAUGUGGCCGCCAGGCUAAAGACGGGGACCGCAAGGCCUGUCACUUGCCGAGUGGUCCGCGGCCUAUCAGCUAGUUGGCGGGGUAAGGGCCCACCCAGGCUACGACGGGUCGCUGGUCUUAGAGGGCGACCAGCCACACUGGAACUGAGGCACGGUCCAGGCACCUACGGGUGGCAGCAGUCGAGAAUCUUUCACAAUGGGGCAACCCUGAUGGAGCGACGCCGCGUGGAGGAUAAGGUCUUCGGAUUGUAAACUCCUGUCAUGCGAGAACAAGGUACUCAGGCUAAUAACCUGAUUGUUUGAUGGUACCGCAAGAGGAAGAGACGGCUAACUCUGUGCCAGCCGCCGCAGUAACAC